CAAAUGACCCAAUGAAAAUGUUGCUGCUGAUUGACCUAACUAUCUGUCCUUAGAGGUACAAGUCAGGAAGACUGAUGGGAUGGAGAGCUAUUGGAAAAAGCUACUGACAAGGUAACACCACUGACCACAGCAAAAGUUGCACAGCACAGCCAACAGGAAAGAGGAAGACAAACAAUGUGAAUCAACACAGAAUGCUGGUCAGAAUGCAGAAGAUACAUUGCCAUGAACUGCUCAUGCUAGAAAUAUUGAGUGAAAAAUGGGAAUUUGCCAGAAAGCAACAUUAAAAAUAAAGUCCGACCCCAUUCUGCCUGACCAGAACACAGCACUAGGAGUUGUGCUGCCCAUUCUCAGUAAGUGACAAACAAAAUAAAGAUUGGUAUGAAUGAUGAAAAGAAGGAAAGCUCCACGAAAAGGUAGGCAAAGAACUCCACAAAAAAAAAAAAAAAAAAAAAAAGAGGCAAAGCUACAGGCUAGUGCAAUGCUAUAGGAGCAUUUGAGUAUAUAAAGCUAAUAAUACUGUCCAUAAAAUGGGAAAGACAAAACAGAGUGAAAGUGAUGACCAAUGGCAUGAUUGAAUACAAGCAAUGACAGCGUAGUGCUCUAUUCUCACUUUUUUACUUUAUUACUUAAUAUUUGUUGACCCUCUGCUUCUCACAAAGUUACAGAGCUCCAUUUGUCUCACAACAACCAUGGACUUGGCAGCCUGCUGUCACUCUUGAACUGAUCACAGUAGCCUGAAAAGUGAGCUGUGCUGAGGGACAAUAGCUCAUGUAAGUGCAUAGAAAAUAUACAUUGAUUCAGUCUUCAGUCUUUAAAGUCUGCUGAGCUUCUCUAGCACCUCAAUAGGACAUACAGCUCCCAUCUGGGGGGGGUUGAAUGAGCAGGUCAGACAGCAUCCACUCUAUUGCACCAGUAAGCGAGUGAUGCUAGGAAAUACCAUUUCUGUAAGUAAAGCUGGCCCUCACCUUUACAUUGUACAGCUCCUAGAAGAGACACUGCAAUGCUUAUAAAGUUUAAAGGUAGCAGUAGCAUCUUCUGUUAGACCUCUUGGUGGAGUUGGAAAGGUGGGGCAAGGUUUUGUCUUUCUUGAUAUCAACAGCGGUACUGCAACGCUGAGUUGUAUACUGAAGCUCCUGUUUCUAACACAGAGGCAAACUUUUGGCGUUGAGAGCUUUUUAGCUUUUCCAGUUCUCACUUCUGAUUCCCUAAAAGAUACUCUGCACCUUCACACCUCACACUGGUCUGUCAGAACUGCAGCAAAAUACUACCUCAAACAGAAGCAGCCUCAUAGUUCAUGGCUGUCAUUUAUAGCUUGAUAUAAUAGCAUGUGUUGUACUUAAGGUUGUACUUAAUGAGGCUGAAACUCUUGAUUGCACCCCACUGUAAACUGGGGGCCACAGAGUUAAGGUGUGCUAGGUAUCACACUCAGCAUCAUAGUGUUUGCAUGCCAAAUCAUAUCACACACCCCGACUAAAUAAUUGGCACUUAGAAAAAAUUAUUUUAUUCAUCUAAAUUUCAAUCCCACAGCUCUUGGUAUAAUCCUAGUGUAAAUGCAAGUUCAGAGGUCAUUGCAAAAGUAACAGGAAGCAAGACAAAAAGACAACUAAAUUCUUUCACAGCCAUUUCUACCUCAGAAUUGGAAGAAAAAGGUUGUGUGCCAGCCAUGUAAAGUACUCCCAAGUCUCACGGGGGGUUUCACUUCCUGGAUCCCUGACCAUCUAAAGAUGGUUCAGAAAGAAGAAAACAAAAGCCUGUGUGUCAGGAGAGGUCCCUGAAAGGUAAUGUGGCACUGAAAAAUUAUGUCUGAUUGUGAUGCGUUUUGGCACUGAAACAAGUCUGCUGGUCCAUCAUGUUCACACUACACAGCAGUUCCCACGUGUUCAGAAUUAAAUAGGCAGCUUGCUAACUAACAGUCCCCUAAGAGCAGGAGAACACAUUUGCAUAUGGACUUGGCAUCUUGGUUAGUCAUUGUUGAGACAAAUGACUGGACAAUUAAGUAUAGUUAAGCAGUAAGCACAAGUAGCUCACAGUAUUACUUCAAUUUAAAGAUAAUAAAGACUUAUUAAUUAACAGCAGUGAUUACUAGAGCCUAAGUUUUGAACUUUUUUUUUUUGUAUACUAAAAGUCUGUUUACUAUGCUGAUAUUGACAUUUUUCAGAACUGCAAAUCCAUUGUGUUAGCAUACAGAAACAAGCUUCCAAAGCAGAUUAUGGGUUACUAAAGGACAUUAGAGUGAAGAGACCACGUCUGUCUUCAUCAUUUUUCCUCUGCAGCAAAUACAUCCAGAAUUUGGAGGUGAAUAACCCAUUCCCCAAAGGCCCACGAUUGUCCUUCAGACUCAAAGGGGAAAAUAUCAACAGAAGUCAGCAGAAGUUGGGGAAAGAAAGAAAGAAAGAUAUUAUCCUCUUCAUCUUUUUCUCUCUUUCUCUUUGCACCACCUUUGGGACGUCAUGACGCAGGGUCGCAACAAUGAUUUUUGCUCCAAAGCCAUUACAUCAGUGUCUUCUUUCUCCUCAGUAUGUGCAGCUCUGGGUUACUGCUCUCAGCAGCUCUGGAGAUGUCUGAGAAUGCCAUGAGUCUGUUCCCUCAGCUGAAGCAUGCAGUGAGGUGAGGUGAGGGGAGAAGCUCUGCUCCUCACAGAUACAGAGCAAGUGGUUCUCCUAGCUCUCAAAACAACUUUUAGACACUGAUCUUAUCCGUCUAUCAAAUAUCCAUUACCUCACAAUUUAAUACAUUGUUUGCAAAAUCCUCAGAAGCCCUGGCUGCAACUAAGAAUUGUACAGGGAUCGCUGUUAUGUUACAAGAAUGCUAAAACUAGGCAUAUCAGCAUCUAAUGAAAACGGAAACUGGCUGGUCAUUAGGAAAAUGCAGGCUUUCUUACUCUGUGCAAGCAAUCGGUCACCAGGGUUUUGGGGUGGCAGAGACUGACUACAAACAGUACAGGAAUCUGUCAGCUGUAAGAACUGUCAUUUACCACAGGAAGCUCUUUGGGUCAUACCUCUGAAUUUAUACAGAAAACAUACUGACUCACUUGGCAGCUGCGAUCAAGAUAUUUUACAUGGCCAGAAGCAGCAACCUUAAAGUGUUUGGCAAAGACCAGUUAUUAAUGCUCAUGCUGGGAAUAUGUUUCCUCGUGUGUCCUCCUUUUCAUCUCUCUUUCCAUCCUGGAUGGAAGUAGCUCACCUCUUUGCCCUUUACCACACAAAGGCUGUUGUUACUGAGGAGCUCUUUGUGCUAGCAGUCUUUCAUCAGACCAAGGAAGAAGAAAUAGAGAGGAAGUACAAAUAGGAAAGCAGUUCAUGUGAAGAAAUGCCCUGAACAAAAAGUCAAGAAAGUAAAUUCGUAUGACUCAGUCACCCUUUCACCUCUCAGGUUUCUUAUGUAUAUUUGAGACAUUGCCUGAAUCUGAGGAUACAAGAAGCAUUGUCAAGAUGAACAAUCCUAGGAAAAUGAAAAAGCUCAGCAAAAUUUCUUAACACGUCAUUAAAUUUGAACCUUAAAAUGUAAAAUGUUUACAAACCUAGCAGAAGAAGGGCCCAAGGCUGGGGAAACAAAGGCAGAGAGUCUGGGUUUAUAAGCAUUUUAAGUUAAAUAAAAUGUAAUUACAUGGCUAAAACAAAAACAAUACAAAAAAAGAGGCAGGGAGAGAAGAAGUUGUGUAUAAGGCAUGGAAGUGAUUCCUGGGUCUCUGCACACCUGGAGCACAUCUAACAGGAAGCAGAGCUGGGACUGAGAGAUGCCGUUGGCAAAGGAAGAUUGCAGCACUGGUAACUGGAGGAACAAAAAGGAAAAAGUGGUAGGAAGGAGAGGAGAACAGGAACUAGAUAAAGGAAAAAAAUAUGAAUCAACAUGUAAAUUAAUUGGGUUUCAUUCAGUCAACAUUUACUGAUGAAACACCAUUUUUCCAGGAGGUUCCCAGCCUUAUGGCACCUCGUGCAUCAGAGGUACAGCUUCAGUCUUAACGUUGUCAGUAGAGAUCUGCUUAGUACAAAAGAGCAAAAAUUACAGUAAUUCACAUGCUGCAUACAGUCUUUGCUUGCCAUCAUCCAAGUGUCAGGAGAAAGUUAGAUGUAGCAUACAGAACACAUCCAACAACUGCACCUGACUGAGGCCGCAGAAUCUACACACACUGGGGCAGGCUGUGGCUCCUGCAAAUGUAAAUUGGUACUUGUGGCAAGGCGUCCCAGAAGGGUAACUUUCUGUGUCUGUGAUGUAAGAGAAAAUGAGGUUGUUUGCAGCAAAGUCACCCAUCUUUUCACUCAGGUCCAGCUAUCACAGGAGAUGUGAGCCCCCUCAAAGAAUCAUUCUGUCCAAGACCUUAAUCCACUCAGUACUUACAGUUUGUUGCAUUGCAGCCAGUCUGUUUGCUGCCACAGUAUUUCCUCUUUUAUUGAUUAGCCUUAUCUACUGCCUUAUUCAUCCAACAGCUUCAUCACAGUAGAGAAAUACGGAAAAAACUAAUCCUUUUUGUCAGUGUCUAAGCAAUAAUUUAAUAGCAAUGUGUUUUUGCCCUGUAUCUCAACAACCUGCAAUUUUGCCAACUUUAGCAAUUUCAUUAAAAUGCUCCUAUUUUUCCCUGUACACUGCAGCACUGAGUUCAGUAUUUCUUAAAACAAAAUGGCUCCAUCUCCAGUUGUAGAGAGAAAUUUGUGAAUAAAAUCUCAAAAAAAGAAAAAAAAUCCAUAGGCAAAUAAAAGAACUUCUGAUUUUUAUUUCUUUAUCCUUCCUAAACAGAUGGUGGGCUUUGUGCAGUUGAUGGCCUGCAAAUUCUGGUUUGGCAGUACUGAACUAGGAGCACUUCAAGUCAACAUUAGCUCUGGACUGUCUGUUCUCACCUGCGCUUUUGUUUGCCCAGAGCUGGAGGUCACAUCAAGAAAUAUGUAACGUGUUUUAAAAUACAAACCUUUUUGAUAACUCAUGCUAACUUUAUUUUAGUCACCGGGACCUCUUUCUCCCCUGGAAACAAAGCCAGAAAAGGCCAACAGUGACACACACCUCUCUUUAUUGCAUCAGGUGGUGACAGCUGAAGUCUGUGAGGGCUAUUCGAAAGCUGUCACAGGAGAGGAACCUUUGGUUUCUGAAGUAAUCUGGUUUCAAUUGGGAUAAAACACCAUUUUGCACUUUCCUGUCAUUUCUUGCUUAGCUUUAAUUGUUCCGACUUGUGCAAAGACUCCAAGUAUUCACACGUCACCUCCCUUGGCCGUCACUCAGACCCUGGCUUUGAUAAUGCCCUCUCUACAAUUUGUUUAAAGCAGUAGGUCAGGAAAGAGACUUCAAGACUUAAAAUUUCCCAUUAAUUCACAUAGAGCAGAAAAAUCAAUACUCAGCAAAUGUUCAGACACUCUGACAGGCCCUAUACACAUUGUACCAGCUUGGUAAUUGUUGUAAUUUCUCUAGGAGGUAUGCCAUGCAUAUAAGGGGGUAUAUCCUACAUAAAAGCACACUGGAAACAGAGAGAUUACAACUAGCUCAUCAAAGCUCCAAGCCACAAGGAAGCAUCCUCAAAACGCAAACCCAAAUGGUAAAAGAGUAGGCUCUAAUUAACCACAUCUCAGUGUGGAAACGAAAAUCAGUAACAGCUGUAAGAGAAAUCCAGAUGGCUGCACUGUUGCAGGGUAAGGCCAUCACUGUAAUGCAAAAUCAUGAAGCACAACCGGUACAGUUUUUCUUUCUUUAAAUUAUUCACAGUGUGACCUUCCAGGGUGGGUUCCCAAUUCAGCAUUUCACUGUCUCAUUGUCAUUAAAGGAUGCUUUCCCUGACCUUUGCAAAGCUUCCCCUUUUGUGCCCUACCUGGUAUCUUAGCAGAAAAUACAGGUAACCCACAGCAGAUACAUAGAGAAAAAAAGAAAUGAAAACUCCAUCUAUUUUCUCUGCUGUCUAAAAAGACAAAAAUUUAUCUCCCAAACAUGAAUUCCGAAUGCUUUUUAUUAAAAAAAAUUAAGCAGCAUGUGCUUAUUAAUAAAUUUCAAGGCAACCAGAUGUAGAAGUCACUUUCAAUAUGUUGUUGAAGGCACUUAUAUUAAUGAGCAUAAGCAGAAGCAUUUUUAGAUGUUUGUUUGCACAGGGAGAACACGACAAUAUAUUGCUGUACCAAGCGACUUUGAAGUACUUGUGAUGGAUAGUUCAGUAUUCUUCUUAAAGAACAGCUGGCAGCAUUUGUUUAUACGCACUCGAGAGGACCUUUCCUGUCCAGAAGGGAUGUCCACUCACUGUUCUCCAAAUCAAUUGGUUGCGAGCUUCUAUAAAGAAGCAUUUCCAUUUUUACAUGCGUCAUAUCUAGGCAGCUUAAUCCAACAUAAAUAAUACUAUUUUUAAUAGAGUAUUUUAAUUGUUCUGUAAAAGCCAUUUUAAAUCUCAACCUUUUUUCUCCUUUUGUUAUCUCUGGUAUAACAGAAAGAGUAACUGGGAGAUCAGACAGAUAAGAACUCCUGUCAGAACAGCAAUGAGGAGAGAACAGUGCUCCUAACUAAAGGAACAGGAAAAAUCUAAUUCCUCUGAAGCGUUGAGGCCGGGCUUUCAUUGGGUUAUUUUAGCACAACAGCCGAAGAAGAUAUCAGGAGAAGACUCCAGGGACAUCUGAUCAAGCCAUCUCAGAACAGGACCACAGGAAUGGAGGUUACAAGGCAGACUUAUCCAUGAGCUAUUUGACCCAGCCACACCAACUGCAUUUUAAAGAGGGAUGAUGAGGGGGUAGGAUUGCUCCUCCUUCUUUUUUCAAACCUCACUAUUAGCAUACUCUAGAUCAAAAUAAUGUUACAAAUGUAAGUUACAGCAUAUCCUGAAGUAUAAAUUUUAAGCUUUUAGAACAGAACGUUACAAAACCAGACACAAUCAAUUACAGUUUGAUUUAGAAGCAAUUAUAUCUGGUAUAUAUCCUAUCAUUAAAUAUUUAGCAAAAGAGAUGAAGUAAUUGCACACCUAUUUAUUUUUCUCAUAGCAUUUCAAAUUCAGGCACAUAAUAGGAAACAGAAAUAAUUUUAACAGUGACCAAUGACAACAUAUUAGAAUUGAGAAUAACUGUUCUUAUGAAAUAAACAGUUGCAAUACAUUCAGUUUUGAAAAUCACAGCCUAAUUGUUACCAAUUCUAUUUUGCUAAAUAUCUACAAAUUUCGAAUAAAUAAAUGUAUUCUUUUUUAAACAGCUUCUUUAAAGAAGAAAUAUGUUUAUAUGUUUAAACAUAUUGCAUGGGCCAGCAUUAAGUAUGAAACUUACAAGGAACUUAAGUUUCUUGGUAUUUUCAUUAAGACAACCAAGAAAAAUGGGUAUUUUCUGGUAAAGAAUAAUGGAGUUUACCUCAAAUGAAUAUACUACCUGGAUUAGCACUUUCUGAAGUCUUUACCUAAAUGUUGCUGCUUGCUCCAAAGCCUCCUGCUAUUUGGAACUAAUAAGACCUGCCUCAAUGUUCCCUGUUGAGUAAUUGAGUCAUUUAAAGAAAGAAGAAAAAUGUAAGAAGCAGGGAAGUUUUACUUGCUAAAUGAUGAAAGACAAAAGAAAUUCAGUGAGAAGCAAGUCACUGACUUCUGGAAGGGACAAUUUUUACAACAGAAAGAGAGGUAAGUGUUCAUGUUUUUCUUAUAUCUGCCUCUCCAGAGGCAGUUUACUUGUAUGGUAAAUUACAAAGAAACAAUUCAGCACAUUUCUGACAAAUAUAAUCUGAGUUUUUAAUCCACUGAAUUAAUGUCAAAGAUAAUUAGAUAAUCAUGAGAUAAAUAGCUAUGUGCUCCACUCUUCUACAGCCACUUAGAGAAACAAAUGGCUUUGCUGAUGGAGCACAAGGACUAGGAAAUGGUAGUCAUAAUGCCACAAAAAUAUUCCUGCAGAGCUGCUGGAAAGUUUAGCACGAUGACUUUACUCUGACACUGACAAAAAAACCCUUGGAAACUGUCACCAUCUUCCCCAUACCUUUCUAACUGAUCCCAAGGAACAGGCAAGCAGUACAGGCCAGGACGUGAAAGGGAUCAGCAACACUUGAACUUGCUUCAGAACCUACAGAGAAUGAAAGGAUGCAAUCCCAUUAUAAAGCCACAGGGAUGGGUUGUACCCUUACUGAGGGCUACAGGAGAUGAGGUGCCCUUGCACAGCCCAUAACCAAGCCCAGGGCUGGCUGCCUACUUUGUCUCCCAAGCAGUUCUGGUAUGGGAAAUUUUCCCAGCUAGGUGACACAUUAGGAAAAGCACCUUCUUCCUGUAACAUCCCUUUUAUAGUCCUCACAGUGAAUUAAUGGGUCUGAUUUUCUCUCCAGAGGGAUUUAGGUUUUGAGCCCCUGUAAUACAUGGAAGGGGCUCGGGCCAGGAUUUAUAUCAUAUGCACCAACGUUUACAAAAAUGUUUUGCAGUCCAGAGGGGCGUCCUUUGUACUGCUGUCAGAAUCACUGCAGCAGACUGCAGUAAGUCAGCAAGUUGCUGGGGGCUCAAACAGAGAAGCCCUAUGUCACAUUCGCUGUGCAAGAAACCGGGCAAGUUAACAGCACUGCACAAUUGAAAUACCGCAACAAAUAGUGCUGCUCUGCUGCAAUCUGGAUAGGUCUGCAAGGAGGGGUGUCCCCCAGAAACAGAUGACAGACUGCAGGUGACUACUAAUUGCUGCAAGUACACUUAAACUGCAUCUAACACUCCAAAAGCAGUGUGAUUUUCUGCUGUUGUCAGAUCACUUGACUGUGCUUACAUCAAAACAACAGCUGAAAUAAACAUAAUGACAAACACUGGUAAUGAGCAGUUAAAACACGUUUCAGAAUGAAUUAGCUACAAUGGGAUUUCUGCUCUAGUGGAAUCGCUGCUUCACGAGACUGUCUACCAGUAGCUUAUGAAAAGAGCACCAGCGCUCAAAACUCCUUUACUGCAAGCACAGCCUGAAGUGAGUCUGGCAGAGGGCUCCUGUGUGAGAUGGUCAAUCAGGGCAGCCUUGCAAUCUGUGCCUCCCCCACACAUAUGCAAAAGCAUGCCCCUCAGAUUGGAGGUCAGUCAAUUAGUCAAAUUAACGUCACAGAUGUCUUAUGGGACAAAAAUUUCUGGAGGUCAACAUUCAGGAAAAGGCUUUAAAGCGAUUGCAGCUGUUGAAUGAAAUAGUCUGUAUGCAGUAAUGCCAAUAAAUAGAUCUUGGCCAAAUUGUAAUAAUCCUCUCAAAGAGGAAGACAUUAAUUGCUAGGAAGCUUCACUGCUGCCUAACUCGUCAAGCAGUAACUGGCCACCUACAGCGACCGUGAUCUGGUUCUCCACAACACAUCACAGGAGUAAAAUUAAUUUCUAUUUACAGCAGAGUUCGAAAUUCAUAACAUUUCUAAUCUGCAGUGAGAUCUCCACUCUUAUAGCUCGGCUUCAAAAUGCCAGCUUCUUACCAGCUCUCCGCUCUAAGGCAAACAAUAAAUCACUCUCUCCACAUUUACGUUGACCACUUCCCUGCUUCCAUGGAUGCCAAGCUCCAUUUUUUCUCUUUCUUUAUUUCAGUGGUUCUCAGCUAGGGAGUGCAGGUUACAGAAAACAGGCAUUGGAUAUGCCCCAUCAGAAACUAUAGAACUGCAUUAUCAAUAGUUUUCCUCAUUUUGUUUCUCAGUUGAACAUAGGAAUGCUCUUUAAGAGCAAUCUUUAAGAGUUCUUUUAUUACAAAUGACAUCCUCUUUCAAAAGAACCUGGAGAAUAGAAGCAUAUCAGAAACAUCUUCCAUUUCUGCUGUAAGUAUUGCUUGACUAGCAAACAUUAGAAAUUAAAACGUUUUUUAAUAACAUAAAAUAAACCAUAUCAUAUACCUAUAUAAAUAUAUAUCCAUAUAAACCAAAUCAUAUACCUAUUCCAUUUUUUGUAGUAGUAGCAGAGACCCAAUGAAAAAGCAGGAGAUAUAUACCUAGGUAUAUACAUAGGUGAAAGCACAAUGAGGCAUUAUAUAUAUAUGUACACACACACACCCCCGCAUACACAGAGGGAAAUAAUUAUCUAUUUUACAAAGUGAUGCAGUCAGCAAUACCACUAAAAUUAUCAGUAGACAGCCUGACACACAACCAGAGUAUGAAGACGCUAAAAUAUCAGGACACGUUCAAUAUAAUUGAAGAAUAAUACACAGCACAGGUAUAGAUGAUGUGCACAGGAAUCCCACUAAUCUUUUCAUAAUUACAGCAAUACAAAUGGUAAAGAUACAGUUCAUCACAUCGGUGUGCCUUAAAACACUAAUUCACAAUAGUGACUGCCCUUCCUUGUGAGAAGGGCAGAACAGUACUGAGGCUCCUGGUUUCCUUCCCUGCCAGUUUCAUGUUCUAGCAACAUGGGAGACCACCUCCUCAUACCAUGUUACCACCCUGCAGCUAUCCAGGUGUCCCAAGGACCUCCUAAGUCCUUCCUAAGUCCUCCAAAGGAAAGCAGGCAGCUUUCCUGACAGCUCUGCCAUCUCCAUGCUCCCUCGCUGUGCCUGAGUGCUCUCCAAAGCACUGAGUUACACAGGAAAGGUUGCUAAAGGGUCAUUCCUGGUGUCCCCUCAUAGCUGCAGUUCUCAUGACCUGUGCUAACUUCAGACAUGAAGGGCCAGGCAUGGCCUACAAACAAUGCAGCAUUACUCACCUGAAGAGCAAAUCCAAGCAGCAAUCCUAGUCCACACAGUCAGGUGUGGUCAGGUGCAAUUAGAGAACAUCAUUCCAAAGAAUCACACAUAGCAACUGGGCUCCUACGCAGCAAACCCCAGCCAGUAAUAAAUGGUGGCCAGAGCCAACUCUGGCUCCCGGAUACCGUACAGUCUGAUAAGAUACACCGAUACAUUUUAAAGUAAAUAGAUUCCUGUUUCCCUGGGCAGCACAGAUCACAAUGUGGAGAAUAAAUAUUUCAGUGAGUCAUUUCCUGUGUGAGGGAAAUGAGAACACAGAGUCUAAAGGUUUAAUGCUGCCCCAGUUCAGGGUGUGACUUUUCUCUAUAUCAAGUCACAGACAACCUGGAACUCACCUAGAAGGUAAAAACUUCCAUGGCACUACUGCAGUGCUUCAGGCUCCUACACAGCACUGAAAAUCUGAAUUCAAUAGAUUUUUACUAUCCAUUGCUGUGACAAUAAAGUCCCAUGCUUCUCAAAUGCCUUUCACAUCUUAGGUGCCAGUUUGAUAUUGUUCUCAUGCCAAGGAAGAUAAGGUUAAUAGGGCAUCCAUAAAGACAGAAGCCCAGAGCUUUGUAAGGCCUAUGUUCCUAUUGUCAAUAUAGGACUAGCUACUGGCUAGUAGAGUUCCAUCAAACUAUUCAAAAUGACAGGCAUCCUUUCUUACAGAAGUUCUCCGAAACAAAACAGAAAAUACAGAACAACCACACUAUUCCUCCUUUUGGUUUGAAGAAAAUUCUGUAAUCUCACCUCAAAACACCAAAUUCUCCCCUUGUAGCCACUAUACACAGACCCAUUUAUUUUUAUCUGACCAACCAGCACCAGUGAAGUGCUGAAAAAGGAAACAUGAAACAAUCUGUAUAGCGCUGACUGAGAAAAAAGGACUGGAAUAGAUGAAACUUCAGGUUAAUUUAUUUAAGUCUAUUUUCUCAAGUAACAUUCUGUGGCAACUGCUGUUGUUUGUUUGCUUUUUAAACAGUUCUCUUGUAAAUAUACAUUCCUGUAACCUCCCUACCAUGAAGAAACGGUGUCAGGGAUCAGGAAUCCUGAUGGACUGCAGUGAUCUGACCCUUCUGUCCCUCCUCAUUUCUGAAGCACCAGAAUCAACACAUCUCUGUGAUGCCAGACAUCCCCAGUCAUACAUUUCCUAUGCGCACAAUUCUGUCGAAGCAGAACAGCCCUCAGCGUGCACUAUGGGGCCCGGUAACCACCAGAGCACAGCUGACCAGCAUGCCAGCAGCCCACCCCAAUGGCUCCAGCAGAAUCACGAGCAAGGACCAAAGGGAGCUGGCGCAGACUCAGAUGAGGACCAUUCCCACAAAGGAAAGGACACUGUGGAGGGAUUCAUGUGCUGUACUAGGUCCAAGUGAGUCUCAUUUGAAGCAAAUUCAGAAUUCAGAAUUACGUUUUUUGUUGUUGUUGAUACACUGAAAUGAGCUGCUUCAUUCCCAUGAUCACCAAUCAGAGCAAUCAAAAAGUGUUGUAGUUUAAAGUCUAAUUGAAUUAGUAGAAAAAAAUUGAUUUGUAAACUACUUUCCUCUCACAACUUCAAAGAACAAUUAAAGUGUCACUGCUAUUGUGAAGAGAAAUUUAACAUCUGCAGGAAUGCACAAAACACAGUCUUAAACGGCUUACCGGUUUGCAGCAAUCAGAAUGUAGCAGUAGAAAUUUUAUAGCAAAAUACUUCAUCAACACAAACAAUUUCAUACCUGCUUUGAGCUUCAACUUCAGCAAAACUGAGAUUGCUGUACAAUUUCUCAUUCCUUGAGAAAGCCAGGAAACACAGUGCGUUAAGACACAGCGUGCUCCUCACCAAGGAACAGCAGGAGUUAUCCACAAGCACAACUGUGCUCAUGAUCCAAAGAACAGCGUGCCAAAGAGGAAAGAAGGAACUGCAGCAGCUAACAAAGGUAGGGCAGCACUGCAAGGCAAUCCAGCAGCCGUGCCCUCAGCACACACAUGGUAUGGGGUAGCCUCUGUCCCUCUAUCCGCAUGCCUCCCUCGCCUGGUGAGAUGCUGCUGUCUGUAAUUGCAACUUACAGCACAACAACCACCAGUUAUUACGUGCUGGUAACCCAUGAUCAUGGUAAUUCUGCAAAAAGUCUUCCACUGCUCCUGUGCAAAGAGCAUCUAACCCUGCAGCUCAGGAGAGAUGAGUCCUAUCGUUAGGAUUAGCAUCUUUACAAAAAACUACAGGACUACACUAGGAAAUAUCAGACAGGUGAAAGUAAAAUAUUAAAGCAGAAAAGAGCAAACAACGCUGUACGUCAAAUCUGUGACCUUAUUUAUAAAUGUAUGGUUAAAUGCCAGUGCCUCCUGCUCAGCCUGACUGAUCCAACUGCCAACCAAUAACCAAUAUCAGUGAUUUUAUGGUCUAACAUUUCAAAUCUCAUGCUUUGACUAGAAGUCAUUACUAUUUAGUUAACAAUGUACUCUAGAAUUAAAAAAAAUAAUAAUAAAUGUGUGCUUCUGUAACAUUAAGUCCCAAUAGACAUGGUGUCCAUUCCCUUCAGUUCUUUUGCAGGAUGAGAACUGGGAAAUGUGUUUCUUGCUAAUGAGAAAGGAAAAGGGAAAGCAACGAUGUUCCCAUUUUAAGUUUGGUUUGGCCACUGUAAUCCUUAAGAUGCUAAGAUGUCCCACCUAAUCUGA